AUAGCUGGUUAUUCAAGAAAUGGAUAUAAGUCCAACUUAAAAUUUUUAUAAAACCUCUAAAUGUACUAAUAAAUUUUAAUUUUAUUCAAAUAAGGUACAGCCUAUUUGAAACAGGAUACAACCUAUAACAGAGGGUAAUACCACAACAAAGUGAUUAAGUUGGCCUAAAAGCAGCCAUCUUUUAAAAAGCGUUAAAGCUUCAUCACACUAAAAAUACUAAUACCAACCUUAACCAAAAACCCCUUAUUAAUAUUGAAUGACUCCAUAACUAUAUGGAAAACUCUAUGUCUGAACUAGUAACAAGAAUAACUUCUCCAAUUAACGUAAGCAUAAGCCAGAAUGAACCACACACCGGCACUUAUCGCCAAUAAGUCUAAAGUAAUAACUUAACAAGAAAAUUUUACUAAUCAAAGCGUUAACCUUACACUAGAACGUUCCCGGAAAGAUUAAAAAAAGUGGAAGGAACUCGGCAAAUAUUAACCCCGCCUGUUUA
rnacentral:rRNA from 1 species